rnacentral:rRNA from 1 species
UACAGAGGUCUCAACCGUUGUUCGGAUUCAUUGGGCGUAAAGGGUGCGUAGGCGGUCGGGUAAGUCGGAUGUGAAAUCUCAGGGCUCAACCCUGAAACUGCAUUCGAUACUGCCUGGCUAGGGUACUGGAGAGGAGACUGGAAUUUACGGUGUAGCAGUGAAAUGCGUAGAUAUCAGGAGGAACACCGGUGGCGAAGGCGGGUCUCUGGGCCGAUAUUGACGCUGAGGAGCGAAAAGCGUGGGGGAGCGAACAGG